rnacentral:rRNA from 1 species
UACGUAGGGACCAAGCGUUGUUCGGAAUUACUGGGCGUAAAGGGCGCGUAGGCGGUUCGCUAAGUUGAAUGUGAAAACUCUGGGCUUAACCCAGAGCCUGCAUUCAAUACUGGCGGGCUAGAGUUCUGGAGGGGAUAGCGGAAUUCCUGGUGUAGCGGUGAAAUGCGUAGAUAUCAGGAGGAACACCGGUGGCGAAGGCGGCUAUCUGGACAGAGUCUGACGCUGAUGCGCGAAAGCUAGGGGAGCAAACAGG